rnacentral:rRNA from 1 species
AUAGGUUAUAAGUAAUCGUACUCCAAACCGACACAGGUGAUCAGGUAGAGAAUACCAAGGCGCUUGAGAGAACUCGGGUGAAGGAACUAGGCAAAAUGGUACCGUAACUUCGGGAGAAGGUACGCUCCUGGCGGUGAUGAGACUUGCUCUCUAAGCUGCUGGGAGUCGCAGAUACCAGGUGGCUGCAACUGUUUAUUAAAAACACAGCACUGUGCAAAAUCGAAAGAUGACGUAUACGGUGUGACGCCUGCCCGGUGCCGGAAGGUUAAUUGAUGGGGUUAGACGCAAGUCGAAGCUCUUGAUCGAAGCCCCGGUAAACGGCGGCCGUAACUAUAACGGUCCUAAGGUAGCGAAAUUCCUUGUCGGGUAAGUUCCGACCUGCACGAAUGGCGUAAUGAUGGCCACGCUGUCUCCACCCGAGACUCAGUGAAAUUGAAAUCGCAGUGAAGAUGCUGUGUACCCGCGGCUAGACGGAAAGACCCCGUGAACCUUUACUACAGCUUGGCACUGAACAUUGACCCUACAUGUGUAGGAUAGGUGGGAGACUAUGAAAUACGGGCGCUAGUUCGUAUGGAGUCGUCCUUGAAAUACCACCCUUGUAUGCUUGAUGUUCUAACGUUGGCCCCUUAUCGGGGUUGCGGACAGUGCCUGGUGGGUAGUUUGACUGGGGCGGUCUCCUCCCAAAGAGUAACGGAGGAGCACGAAGGUGGGCUAAUCACGGUCGGACAUCGUGAGGUUAGUGCAAUGGCAUAAGCCCGCUUGACUGCGAGAAUGACAAUUCGAGCAGGUGCGAAAGCAGGUCAUAGUGAUCCGGUGGUUCUGAAUGGAAGGGCCAUCGCUCAACGGAUAAAAGGUACUCCGGGGAUAACAGGCUGAUACCGCCCAAGAGUUCAUAUCGACGGCGGUGUUUGGCACCUCGAUGUCGGCUCAUCACAUCCUGGGGCUGAAGUCGGUCCCAAGGGUAUGGCUGUUCGCCAUUUAAAGUGGUACGCGAGCUGGGUUUAGAACGUCGUGAGACAGUUCGGUCCCUAUCUGCCGUGGGCGUUGGAUGAUUGAAGGGGGCUGCUCCUAGUACGAGAGGACCGGAGUGGACGAACCUCUGGUGUUCGGGUUGUUACGCCAGUAGCAUUGCCCGGUAGCUAAGUUCGGAAUCGAUAACCGCUGAAAGCAUCUAAGCGGGAAGCGAGCCCUGAGAUGAGUCAUCCCUGAUACUAUAAGUAUCCUAAAGGGUUGUUGAAGACUACGACGUUGAUAGGCAGGGUGUGUAAGUGCUG